UACGUAGGUGGCAAGCGUUAUCCGGAAUUAUUGGGCGUAAAGAGCGCGCAGGUGGUUGAUUAAGUCUGAUGUGAAAGCCCACGGCUUAACCGUGGAGGGUCAUUGGAAACUGGUCGACUUGAGUGCAGAAGAGGGAAGUUGAAUUCCAUGUGUAGCGGUGAAAUGCGUAGAGAUAUGGAGGAACACCAGUGGCGAAGGCGGCUUCCUGGUCUGUAACUGACGCUGAGGCACGAAAGCGUGGGGAGCAAACAGGAUUAGAUA
rnacentral:rRNA from 1 species